CCUACGGGAGGCAGCAGUGGGGAAUAUUGCACAAUGGGGGAAACCCUGAUGCAGCGACGCCGCGUGAGUGAAGAAGUAUUUCGGUAUGUAAAGCUCUAUCAGCAGGGAAGAAGCAAGACGGUACCUGACUAAGAAGCCCCGGCUAACUACGUGCCAGCAGCCGCGGUAAUACGUAGGGGGCAAGCGUUAUCCGGAUUUACUGGGUGUAAAGGGAGCGUAGACGGUGAUGCAAGUCAGAAGUGAAAGCCCGGGGCUCAACUCCGGGACUGCUUUUGAAACUGUGUGACUGGAGUGCAGGAGAGGUAAGCGGAAUUCCUGGUGUAGCGGUGAAAUGCGUAGAUAUCAGGAGGAACACCAGUGGCGAAGGCGGCUUACUGGACUGUAACUGACGUUGAGGCUCGAAAGCGUGGGGAGCAAACAGGAUUAGAUACCCUUGUAGUC
rnacentral:rRNA from 1 species